GGAAGAUACACAAGGCGCCCUUCGUAGUGGGGAGUUGACGGCGGGUGUCGACGGCACCUCAGGUGCCCAGUGAACAGCGCUUCCUCCACGCCGCGAGCCUGGUGCGGGAGAGCGCAGCGCCGACACCUGGAAGAUCGCGUCUGGCGCAAGCGGCCCCACUGACGAGUUUGCCGGGUGGGCCGCUGGCACCGGGACGUCGAGCCUCCGGGCUCGCUCUGCGCGGGCUGCUAGGAGCACACACACCCGAUAGGCGUCCGCGCGGAUUUGGUGACGGGGGUCCGCUCACACCGAGGAGGACCUCGUCUGCAAUCGCAGGAGCUGCCAGCACGAGCAAGGGUGUCAGCUCAUCAGCACAGCAGCAAAUGUCCUGCUGGUCUGUCGUGUUCGAGUGACAGGAGCAGCACAAUUUUGCAGAAGAAACCCUACCCAUAUACAUGCACGAUUAGUGCUUCGGGGGGAUUAUUUCCAGCACAUUCCAUCAUGCACCUCCAGUUGAAACCCCCAAAAGUAAGAACUCUGAGGAAGUGAAGAGAAAGUUACUCUUAGAAGGCAAUGCAAUAGGAAAAGUGGCUUUGGAGUUCAACUGCCCUGGGCUCCACUUCCAACGGUGCCACCGGGCAGCUGUGUGACAGGGAGCACACCCCUUCACUCCUCCAAAAGCAGUGUUCUCAUUUGUCAAACAGAGACAGUCGUGGCUACCUCAUUGAGCUACUGUGACAAAUAAACAGUCACCUGGCAUGUAGCAGAGGUUCCCUGCACUGUAGUUAUUACAUCAGGUCCAGUGAGCACUUAUGAACAGAACCAAAAUUUAGGGGCUAUUAUUGUAACUGAGCAUUUAGUAAGUACAUAAAGAACACUACGAGUAGGACUCGGCGCUUUCACUGCUGUGGUCCAGAUUCAAUCCUUGGUCAGGGAACUAAGAUCCCGUAAGCCUCGCAGUGCGGCCAAAAAACAGAACAAAACAAAACAAAAAAACACUACUACUAAUGAUAGAGGAUCUUUCCGCAUAGUUGCUGGGCCCCAGGCUCUAUGAUAAACAUUCUACACUUAUCGUCUUUACACUAACCCUAUUCUGUGGGCAUUAUUAUUAGCCCCAA